rnacentral:lncRNA from 1 species
GUCCUGAAAAAGAAGAGAAGUGAGAUGAAUGUGGCCUUGCUUGAACCUUACCAUAUGCAUCCCAGGAGGAUCCCAGGAUAACUAACAAGCAGCGAGUAUUUUCUGAUCUUUCGCUUCAUGAAUAUUCAUGACACAUUUUGCCAGAAGUCAUGUAGGAAACUGCCACUGUCUUGGAUGGCGCUUGGAACUAAAUAGCUACCCAUCUUCUGAGCUGGCUCAAUAAAACGUACCACUGUAGUAUCCAGGUGCUUUCAUAAUAUUUCCAAGGAUAUUUUGCCAA